AAUGAUUGAGAACGACAGCAUGACCAUGGUUUCGCUCAGUUCAUUUCUUGUCUUGAUUCUUCUGAGCUCCAGCUUGCUGCUAUCAGCAAGUGGUGGUGGUCGUGGCAGUCAUGGACAUGGCAGUCACGAUUCCUAUGGUCAUGGCGUUCAUGGACAUGGCAGUCACGAUUCCUAUGGUCAUGGCGGUCAUGGACAUGGCAGUCACGAUUCCUAUGGUCAUGGCGGUCAUGGACAUGGCAGUCACGAUUCCUAUGGUCAUGGCGGUCAUGGACAUGGCAGUCACGAUUCCUAUGGUCAUGGCGGUCACGGACAUGGUAGUCACGAUUCCUAUGGUCAUGGCGGUCACGGACAUGGUAGUCACGAUUCCUAUGGUCAUGGCGGUCACGGACAUGGUAGUCACGAUUCCUAUGGGAAUGAUCUUCUGGGUUCAGACUUGUUUGCCAGCUUCUCCACAUUGGAGAUUACUUUCAAUAAAUGCUUUAGUGCAA
ensembl:processed_transcript